UGGGGAAUAUUGGACAAUGGGCGAAAGCCUGAUCUAGCCAUGCCGCGUGUGUGAAGAAGGUCUUCGGAUUGUAAAGCACUUUAAGUUGGGAGGAAGGGCAUUAACCUAAUACGUUAGUGUUUUGACGUUACCGACAGAAUAAGCACCGGCUAACUCUGUGCCAGCAGCCGCGGUAAUACAGAGGGUGCAAGCGUUAAUCGGAAUUACUGGGCGUAAAGCGCGCGUAGGUGGUUUGUUAAGUUGGAUGUGAAAUCCCCGGGCUCAACCUGGGAACUGCAUUCAAAACUGACUGACUAGAGUAUGGUAGAGGGUGGUGGAAUUUCCUGUGUAGCGGUGAAAUGCGUAGAUAUAGGAAGGAACACCAGUGGCGAAGGCGACCACCUGGACUAAUACUGACACUGAGGUGCGAAAGCGUGGGGAGCAAACA
rnacentral:rRNA from 1 species